rnacentral:lncRNA from 1 species
AAAGAAAAAAAAUGGAUGAUUGACACAUAUAAAAUCUUAAAUGAAUGUCAUAGGAAUUAUGCUGAAUAAAAAACAUAUAAUCCAGAAAGUUUAUAUACUCUAAGUUUACACACUGUAUAAUUCCAUUUAUAUAACAUUGUUGAAAAUGACAAAAUUUUAGAUAUCAAAACCAGAUUAGUGGCUGUCAGAAUUAGAGGUGAGGGGGAUGGGCAUGAGGGAGGUGAGUGCGUUAUAAAAAGGCAACAUGGGUAAUCCUUGUGUUGAUGGAAUUCUUCUGUAUCUUGACUGUGAUGGUGGAUACACCAAUCAACAUAUGUGAUAAAACUGUGUAGAACUGAAUGCACAUGCAAACAAACAAGAAUACAAAUAAAGUGAGAAAUUUGAAUAAUAUCAGUGGAUUAUAUCAAUGUUAAUAUUUGUUUAUUAUUUCAUAGCUCUUAAUUAUUUCCUUUUGUGAUGACUUGGGGGGAAGGAAAUAGUAUCUCUGCUUUCUAGAUAUUAACCCCAUUUCUUAUCUUCUUUGUCUCUACCUAAUUACCUAGUUUUCUGUGACAGUUAUUUACAUUAUUUUAAAAGUACUAGAUUUUAAAUUAAUGAGAUUGAAGCCAUAAUAAAAAGUCUUCCAGUAAAGAAAAGCCAAGGACCUAAUGGCUUCACUGCUGAAAUCUACCAACAUUUAAAGAAAUGUUAAUACCACUCAUACUCAAAUUAUUCCAAAAAGUAGAGGACAGAAUACUUCUAAAUUCAUUCUAGGAGGCCAAUAUUACCUUGAUACCAAACCCUGAAAGAGACACGUCAAAAAAAGAAAAAAAAGAAAAAAGAAAGAAAAAAGAAAACUACAGGGCAAUAACUCCAAUGAAUAUUGAUGCAAAAAUCCUGAACGAAAUACUAGCAAAUUGAAUUCAGCAAUACAUUAAAAAGAUCAUUCAUCAUGACCAAGCAGGAUUUAUUCCAGGGAUGAAAGGAUGGUUCAACAUAAUGCAAAUCAAUCAGUGUGAUACAUCACAUCAACAGAAUGAAGGACAAAAACCAUAUGAUCAUUUCAAUUGUUGCUGAAAAGGCACUUGAUAAAAUUCAACAUCCCUUCAUGAUAAAAAAAAAAACCUAAAAAAACUAGGUAUAGAAGGAAGAUACCUCAAUAUAAUAAAAGCCAUAUAUGACAGACCCACAAUUAGUAUCAUAUUAAAUGGGGAAAAACUAAGAGCCUUCCCUCUAAGAUCUGGGACAUGACAAGGACUCCCACUUUAACCACUGUAAUUCAACAUAGUACUGGAAGUCCUAGCUAGAGCAAUUAGACAAGAGAAAGACAUAAAGGGCAUCAAAAUUGGAAAGGAAGAGUCAAAUUAUAAUGAUUUGCAGAUGACGUGAUCUUAUAUUUGGAAAAAUCUAAAGCCUCCACCAAAAAACUAUUAGAACUGAUAAACAAAUUCAGUAAAAUUGCAGGAUACAAAAUUCACAUACAAGAAUCAGUAACAUUUCUAUAUGCCAACAGUAAACAAUCAAUCUGAAAAAGAAAUAAAAAAGUAAUUCCAUUUACAAUAGCCACAAACAAAAUUAAAUGCCUAGGAAUUAACCUAAGAAGUAAAAGAUCUUUACAAUGAAAAUUAUAAAAACACUGAUAAAAAAAUUUGAAGAAGACAUCAAAAAAUGGAAACAUAUUCCAUGUUCACGGACUAGAAGAAUCAAUAUUUUUAAAAAGUUCAUACUAUCCAAAGCAAUCAACAGAUGCAGUGCAAUUCCUAUCAAAAUACCAAUGACAUUCUUCAUAGAAAUAGAAAAAAACUAUCCUAAAAUUUAUAUGAAACCACAAAAGACCCAGAAGAGCCAUGGCUAUCCUAAGCAAAAAAAAAAAAAAAAAAAAAAAUGGAGAAAUCAUAUUACCUGAUUUCAAAUUAUACUACAGACUGAUAGUAACCCAAACAGCAUGGUACUGGCAUAAAAACAGACACAUAGACCAAUGGAAGAGAAAAGAGAACCCAGAAACAAAUCCACGGACCUACAGUGAACUCAUUUUCAACAAAGGUGCCAAGAACAUACACUGAGGAAGACAGUUUCGUCAGUAAAUGGUGAUGGAAAAACUGGAUAUCCAUUUGCAAAAGAAUGAAACUAGACCCCUAUCUCUCAGCGUAUACAAAGAUCAAAUAGAAAUGGAUUAAAAACUUAAAUCUAAGACCUCAAAUUAUUUCACUGCAAGGAAACAUCAGGGAAAAUCUCCAGGACAUUGGUCUGGGCAAAAAUUUCUUGAGUAAUACCCGAAAAGAACAGGCAACCAAAGCAAAAAUGGACAAAUGGGAUCAUAUUACAUUAAAAACCUUCUGCACAGCAAACAAAA